CGCUGGUGUGGGACAGCUGCCUGUGUGGAAGAACUCCAGCCCGCGCCCAUGUCCCUCAGCUUCUGAAACAGGACAAAUGCAUAAAAAAAUCUGACAGAAUGUGCGGAGUCGAGGUUGUCCAGAGAGUCACGGUAGUGACUGGGCGGGUUUGGGGGCAGGCUCAGGUGCAAAUGGCUAAGGGCUAGACAUCUGUGGUGGCCCCGACUGGACGUCUUCGCAGCCUACGCCGCUGCGGGAAGGGGAAGACCCGAUCAGCAGCCCCGGGGCUCGCCCAGGGCUCCAACGACGGGCAGUGUCCUCCCCACACUGAGCGCCCUCGAGUCGCGCGGGAAGAGAGUGUUGGUAAUGUCAGCGACUCCGAGCUGCACGGUUAGUGUCUCCGCUGUGGGUCCCAUCCCCGCGCCCGACCGAGCUUCAGAAAGAUCGCUGACUCGCAUGCGGCCGCACAGCCACAGUGAGAAGAAGCCGGAACUCAGCCUGGGAUUCUGACUGUGUGUCUGAGUAGACACAGUUCCGGGUCCCCCAGUUCCCUCUGCAAGUCCCCCACAGAGACUGCCAUACCCAUCCGGGAAAAAACAAACCAACACAUGCAUACUCAAGCCCACUCCUCUAAGCAUAGAUGUGUACCCAUCAAGGAAGGCCCUCUGCCACUGUGCACGCGCCCCAGCUCCUCUAUCGCCUCUGCCGGCCACUCCCUCAUGACUAUAUCUGCUCAUCUCCUGCCAGGUCGGCCUCUGCAGACUGUUGCGCAGAGCGCAACAAACAGAUGCGCAGUGGUGUUCCCUUCCCAGAUACUGUAGGACACAGUGCAGCGGCCUCUGGGAGCAAACCAAGAGGGAGGCAGAUCAUGGGAUCCCUGGGAUGUCGAAGUCAGGGGGGACCAGUCACCGCGGGCGUAGAGAUCUGGGAGUCAUUCCAGGACCGCUGGCAGAUGUCUGAAACUACCAAUAGCACCUAA
rnacentral:lncRNA from 1 species